GUCAGUGUUGGUGGUUAGCUAUGGACAGGUCAGUGUUGCUGGUUAGCUAUGGACAGGUCAGUGUUGGUGGUUAGCUGUGUGUUAGCUAUGGACAGGUCAGUGUUGGUGGAUAGCUGUGUGUUAGCUAUGGACAGGUCAGUGUUGGUGGUUAGCUGUGUGUUAGCUAUGGACAGGUCAGUGUUGGUGGAUAGCUGUGUAUUAGCUAUGGACAGGUCAGUGUUGGUGGAUAGCUGUGUAUUAGCUAUGGACAGGUCAGUGUUGGUGGUUAGCUGUGUAUUAGCUAUGGACAGGUCAGUGUUGGUGGAUAGCUGUGUGUUAGCUAUGGACAGGUCAGUGUUGGUGGAUAGCUGUGUGUUAGCUAUGGACAGGUCAGUGUUGGUGGAUAGCUGUGUAUUAGCUAUGGACAGGUCAGUGUUGGUGGUUAGCUGUGUAUUAGCUAUGGACAGGUCAGUGUUGGUGGAUAGCUGUGUAUUAGCUAUGGACAGGUCAGUGUUGGUGGAUAGCUGUGUGUUAGCUAUGGACAGGUCAGUGUUGGUGGUUAGCUAUGGACAGGUCAGUGUUGGUGGAUAGCUGUGUGUUAGCUAUGGACAGGUCAGUGUUGGUGGAUAGCUGUGUGUUAGCUAUGGACAGGUCAGUGUUGGUGGUUAGCUGUGUGUUAGCUAUGGACAGGUCAGUGUUGGUGGAUAGCUGUGU
rnacentral:lncRNA from 1 species